UGCCUUUGUGUUGCCCUCUCAUGAUGUUUACCAUGAACAGGGUGUCGAUUAAGGCAUACAGAGAUUCUUGUGGUUGUGAGAGGAAUUCAUCAUCAUUGAUCUAUUUCUACACAAUCGGCCACAAGCACAAAU